CCUACGGGAGGCAGCAGUGAGGAAUAUUGGGCAAUGGAGGCAACUCUGACCCGGCCAUGCCGCGUGCAGGAAGACGGCCCUAUGGGUUGUAAACUGCUUUUAUACAGGAAGAAACACACCUACGUGUAGGUGCUUGACGGUACUGUAAGAAUAAGCACCGGCUAACUCCGUGCCAGCAGCCGCGGUAAUA
rnacentral:rRNA from 1 species